rnacentral:rRNA from 1 species
UAAGGAAUAUUGGUCAAUGGACGAAAGUCUGAACCAGCCAUGCCGCGUGAAGGAUGAAGGCCCUCUGGGUUGUAAACUUCUUUUAUAUGGGACGAAAAAAGGGGAUUCUUCCUCACUUGACGGUACCAUAGGAAUAAGCACCGGCUAACUCCGUGCCAGCAGCCGCGGUAAUACGGAGGGUGCAAGCGUUAUCCGGAUUUACUGGGUUUAAAGGGUGCGUAGGUGGGCAUUUAAGUCAGUGGUGAAAUCUUCGAGCUUAACUCGGAAACUGCCAUUGAUACUACUUGUCUUGAAUAUCCUGGAGGUAAGCGGAAUAUGUCAUGUAGCGGUGAAAUGCUUAGAUAUGACAUAGAACACCCAUUGCGAAGGCAGCUUACUACGGGAUUAUUGACACUGAGGCACGAAAGCGUGGGGAUCAAACAGG